rnacentral:rRNA from 1 species
CUACGGGCGGCAGCAGUGAGGAAUUUUGCGCAAUGGGGGGAACCCUGACGCAGCAACGCCGCGUGAGUGAUGAAGGCUUUCGGGUCGUAAAGCUCUGUCAAGUGGGAAGAACCUAUGCAGGGUUAAUAUCACUGUAUACUGACGGUACCACUGAAGGAAGCACCGGCUAACUCCGUGCCAGCAGCCGCGGUAAUACGGGGGGUGCAAGCGUUAUUCGGAAUCAUUGGGCGUAAAGGGCACGUAGGCGGCUUGGUAAGUCAGAUGUGAAAGCCCGGGGCUUAACCCCGGAAGUGCAUUUGAUACUGUCAGGCUUGAGUAUGGGAGAGGGAGGUGGAAUUCCUGGUGUAGAGGUGAAAUUCGUAGAUAUCAGGAGGAACACCGGUGGCGAAGGCGACUUCCUGGACCAAUACUGACGCUGAGGUGCGAAGGCGUGGGUAGCAAACAGGAUUAGAUACCCCAGUAGUC